CACGAACCGUACGAACGUUAUUCGGAAUUACUGGGCUUAAAGGGUUUGUAGGCGGCCAUGUAAGUCAGGUGUGAAAUCCCUCGGCUCAACCGAGGAACGGCGCUUGAUACUGCAUGGCUUGAGGGAGACAGGGGUAAGCGGAACUGAUGGUGGAGCGGUGAAAUGCGUUGAUAUCAUCAGGAACACCGGUGGCGAAAGCGGCUUACUGGGUCUCUUCUGACGCUGAGGAACGAAAGUUAGGGUAGCGAACGGG
rnacentral:rRNA from 1 species